rnacentral:rRNA from 1 species
CCCUUAGAUGUUCUGGGCCGCACGCGCGCUACACUGAUGCAUUCAACGAGUCUAAAACCUGCUCUGAUAGGGGUGGGUAAUCUUUUGAAUGUGCAUCGUGAUUGGGAUAGAUGAUUGCAAUUUUUCAUCUUCAACGAGGGAUGCCUAGUAAACGCAAGUCAUCAGCUUGCAUUGAUUACGUCCCUGCCCUUUGUACACACCGCCCGUCGCUCCUACCGAUUGAAUGAUCCGAUGAAUAUCAUGGAUUGAGGAUGUAAGCAGGUUCGCCUGUCUUCAUCUUCGAGAAGUGAAGUAAAUCUUAUCAUUUAGAGGAAGGAGAAGUCGUAACA